CGUCGAUCUCUGUGCUUCUCAUCGUCGUCUCUGUACUGACGUCGUCGAUUAGAAGGGAGCUCGAAGAAUUAGGUGUGACACUUCCAAAGGAUGCAUUCGAACUGAUUUUUGUUUUCCUCCAAGAGUGGUAAGUGGUGUCUGCUCUCUGCUGCAUCACUUUAGUUUUG